rnacentral:lncRNA from 1 species
AUUAAAUUAGGCUGAAGUCAACAUGGACGUUUUCACUACCCCAUCUCCUGCAACUCAAACAGCAACAGAAACCUUCCCAACAUUUUCCGACCUGGUGACGAGGAUUGGGAAGAAAGACAUCUACAGCAGCACUGAAGAUUUAGCAGCUCUUAUUGGAGGAAUCCUCCCCGGGGUGCUGCUGGUCUUUCUCUGCAUUAUCACAGUUCUGCUCUGGUGUCUGUCCAGACAGAAAGGCUCAUAUGUGACCAAUGAGACAGAUGACGAUGAUGACGUUGACAACAACGAUGACGAGUCUGUUGGUUCUGACGUGGCGCUCCAAGCUAAAGAACCUCUGAAUGCCAACAAAGAGGACUAA